UUAAAAAGGAUGAAAGGAGGCAAGGCGAUGGGCCCUGAUUGUAUCCCCAUUGAGGUGUGGAAAGGUCUCGGGGACAUAGCGAUAGUAUGGCUAACCAAGCUUUUCAACCUCAUUUUUCGGGCAAACAAGAUGCCAGAAGAAUGGAGACGGAGUAUAUUAGUACCAAUCUUCAAGAACAAGGGGGAUGUUCAGAGUUGUACUAAUUAUCGUGGAAUUAAGCUGAUGAGCCAUACAAUGAAGCUAUGGGAGAGAGUCAUUGAGCACCGCUUAAGAAGAAUGACAAGCGUGACCAAAAAUCAAUUUGGUUUCAUGCCUGGGAGGUCGACCAUGGAAGCCAUUUUCUUGGUACGACAACUUAUGGAGAGAUAUAGGGAGCAUAAGAAGGACUUGCAUAUGGUGUUCAUUGACUUGGAGAAGGCCUAUGAUAAGAUACCGCGGAAUGUCAUGUGGUGGGCCUUGGAGAAACACAAAGUCCCAGCAAAGUACAUUACCCUCAUCAAGGACAUGUACAAUAAUGUUGUGACAAGUGUUCGAACAAGUGAUGUCGACACCGAUGACUUCCCGAUUAAGAUAGGACUGCAUCAGGGGUCAGCUUUGAGCCCUUAUCUUUUUGCAUUGGUGAUGGAUGAGGUCACAAGGGGUAUACAAGGAGAUAUCCCAUGGUGUAUGCUCUUUGCGGAUGAUGUGGUGCUAGUUGACGAUAGUCGGACGGGGGUAAAUAGGAAGUUAGAGUUAUGGAGACAAACCUUGGAAUCGAAAGGGUUUAGGCUUAGCAGAACUAAAACCGAGUACAUGAUGUGCGGUUUCAGUACUACUAGCUGUGAGGAGGAGGAGGUUAGCCUUGAUGGCCGGGUGGUACCUCGGAAGGACACCUUUCGGUAUUUGGGGUCAAUGUUGCAGGAGGAUGGGGGUAUUGAUGAAGAUGUGAACCAUCGAAUCAAAGCCGGAUGGAUGAAGUGGCGCCAAGCUUCUGGCAUUCUCUGUGACAAGAGAGUGCCACAAAAGCUAAAAGGCAAGUUCUACAGGACGGCGGUUCGACCCGCAAUGUUGUAUGGCGCGGAGUGUUGGCCGACUAAAAGGCGACAUGUUCAACAGUUAGGUGUGGCGGAGAUGCGUAUGUUGAGAUGGAUGUGUGGCCACACAAGGAAGGAUCGAGUCCGGAAUGAUGAUAUACGAGAUAGAGUUGGG
rnacentral:rRNA from 1 species